GUUAUUAUGAAUCAAUGGUACAGAAAUAAGAGAGUGAAAGUGGGCGACAAAUGGCACAUGUAUGAUAAUAGUUGGUAAUAUAAUUGACAAUGAACAAAAAAAAAGAAAAAAAAAAAAAAGAAAAAAAAAUGAAAAA
rnacentral:ribozyme from 1 species